UCGACAAGUGGAGCAGACUAAGCGCCAUCUGCAUCAGUACGUGUUUUGAAAUGUCGCGAGCGGUAGGCGGGUGGUAGCAGUUCCCGUCUUUCAACUCAUCAGGACGGGGAAAAAACGUAAAUGUUUUUGAAUCUCUAUAGUCAAGUGCUGCAUUUUGCAUAGUUUCUUUGUCUCUACAAAUUCUGCACCAGCUAAAUCGCGAAAAAUUACGGGCGAUGCAUAUGACUGCAAUUACGAUGCUGGCAGUUCGUCAUAAAAAUGGAGGACGCUUGCAAGAUACUAUGAAUCGUGCGGAAUAAGGGCCAGCGCGACUGAAGUGAGAAACGCUGCGUGAGUGUUGCAGGAAAACAUUUACAAUUUUAUGCAUGGCAUUACGUGUACUUUUACAACAUGUUUUUCUAUGUUUUUUUUCAAUGAAACUGAAUUAUUAUUACUAUUGUCUUUGUUUACUCAUGCAAAAAUACAUGAACACUGAGGGCCUGGCAAAAAUCAGCAAAGCCGCUACGCUACACAGUUCCCACAGAAUUUCCAGUUCAUUCACAACCUGCUUUGGGAUGGACAGGAUUGCUGACAGUUGUGCAAUCUACAGAACGCAAAAAAGAACGCCGCCGAAGCCCAUGGGGCACCCAGAACUGAUGUAAAUUCGUCCAUAUUUUAUGUGCUCACGGUAUAUUUACGUUUAUUCAUUUUGCAUCUAGGUGGGAAGAAAAACACACCGCGACAGCGAAUACUUCUCCGAGUCGGACGUUCCAGACUCUGAAUCAGCUGCUGAAGUAAAGAAGGCUAAUGAACAGGCCACGUACUGGCAGCAGCUUUGUGAAAAGAAAGAGGAGGAAAUAUCACAUCUUCCUUCCUCGCUUCUGUACAUAUUCCAGGCUAGCAGCACAGGCUGGCUCUCCUGCAGAGCCGCAACAGCAGUUCAGAAUAGAAACUGAUGCUGAAACCUGGCUCGGCUUCAAUAAACUACUUGGUAAUAAACUCCGAGGUUCCGAAGGAACCUCGGAAUCGAUUCCUGGUUCCAUAACCGCCUUGCAAGUGGAUCCAUUUGAAAACGGAAACGUGUUUCUAGCUGGAAAGCAAUUCCUAACUGGAAUCCAUUCCUAGGUGGAAAUACAUUCC